rnacentral:rRNA from 1 species
CAAUAGCGUAUAUUAAAGUUGUUGCAGUUAAAAAGCUCGUAGUUGGAUUUGUGGUGUACUUCGGCGGCCCGUCACUAUGUGAUGGAGCUUGCUGAAGUCGCCAUCCUUGGGUGGAUCCUGUGUGGCAUUAAGUUAUCGUGCAGGGGAUGCCCAUCGUUUACUGUGAAAAAAUUAGAGUGUUCAAAGCAGGCUUAUGCCGUUGAAUAUAUUAGCAUGGAAUAAUAAGAUAGGACCUUGGUACUAUUUUGUUGGUUUGCGCACCAAGGUAAUGAUUAAUAGGGACAGUUGGGGGUAUUCGUAUUUCAUUGUCAGAGGUGAAAUUCUUGGAUUUUUGAAAGACGAACUACUGCGAAAGCAUUUACCAAGGAUGUUUUCAUUA